GGAUCCAGACUUUGAUUAUGGCUCAGGACGAACGCUGGCGGCGUGCUUAACACAUGCAAGUCAAGGGGGCCCGCAAGGGUAACCGGCGAACGGGUGCGUAACACGUGAGCAAUCUGCCUAGAUGUGGGGGAUAGCCGGCCCAACGGCCGGGUAAUACCGCAUACGCUCACCGGGCGGCAUCUCCUGGUGAGGAAACAUUCGUGGCAUCUAGAGGAGCUCGCGGCCUAUCAGCUAGUUGGUGGGGUAACGGCCUACCAAGGCUUUGACGGGUAGCUGGUCUGAGAGGAUGGCCAGCCACAUUGGGACUGAGAUACGGCCCAGACUCCUACGGGAGGCAGCAGUGGGGAAUAUUGCGCAAUGGCCGAAAGGCUGACGCAGCGACGCCGCGUGGGGGAUGAAGCAUUUCGGUGUGUAAACCCCUGUUGCUCGGGACGAACAAUCGGCUUUAGCCGAUCUGACGGUACCGGGUGAGGAAGCACCGGCUAACUCCGUGCCAGCAGCCGCGGUAAUACGGAGGGUGCGAGCGUUGUCCGGAAUCACUGGGCGUAAAGGGCGCGUAGGCGGUCUGUUAAGCGUGCGGUGAAAGCCUGGGGCUCAACCCCAGGUCUGCCGUGCGAACUGGUGGACUAGAGCACUGUAGAGGCAGGUGGAAUUCCGGGUGUAGCGGUGGAAUGCGUAGAGAUCCGGAAGAACACCGGUGGCGAAGGCGGCCUGCUGGGCAGUUGCUGACGCUGAGGCGCGACAGCGUGGGGAGCAAACAGGAUUAGAUACCCUGGUAGUCCACGCCGUAAACGAUGGGCACUAGGUGCUUGGGGGAGCGACCCCCCGAGUGCCGGCGCUAACGCAUUAAGUGCCCCGCCUGGGGAGUACGACCGCAAGGUUGAAACUCAAAGGAAUUGACGGGGGCCCGCACAAGCGGUGGAGCAUGUGGUUUAAUUCGACGCAACGCGAAGAACCUUACCUAGGCUUGACAUGCAUGGGAAAGCCUCUGGAAACAGGGGCCCCUCUUCGGAGCUCAUGCACAGGUGCUGCAUGGCUGUCGUCAGCUCGUGUCGUGAGAUGUUGGGUUAAGUCCCGCAACGAGCGCAACCC
rnacentral:rRNA from 1 species